AACGAACGCUGGCGGCAUGCCUAACACAUGCAAGUCGAACGAGACCUUCGGGUCUAGUGGCGCACGGGUGCGUAACGCGUGGGAACCUGCCCUUAGGUUCGGAAUAACUCCCCGAAAGGGGUGCUAAUACCGGAUAAUGUCUUCGGACCAAAGAUUUAUCGCCUUUGGAUGGGCCCGCGUUGGAUUAGCUAGUUGGUAGGGUAAAAGCCUACAAAGGCGACGAUCCAUAGCUGGUCUGAGAGGAUGAUCAGCCACACUGGGACUGAGACACGGCCCAGACUCCUACGGGAGGGAGCAGUGGGGAAUAUUGGACAAGGGGGAAAAGCCUGAUCCAGAAAGGCCGCGUGAGUGAUGAAGGCCUUAGGGUUGUAAAGCUCUUUUACCCGGGAUGAUAAAGACAGUACCGGGAGAAUAAGCUCCGGAUAACUCAAUG
rnacentral:rRNA from 1 species